UACGAAGGGGGCUAGCGUUGUUCGGAAUUACUGGGCGUAAAGCGCGCGCAGGCGGCUCUUCAAGUCAGGGGUGAAAGCCCAGAGCUCAACUCUGGAACUGCCUUUGAGACUGAAGAGCUUGAGUACGGGAGAGGUGAGUGGAAUUCCCGGUGUAGAGGUGAAAUUCGUAGAUAUCGGGAGGAACACCGGUGGCGAAGGCGGCGACCUGGGACAAUACUGACGCUGGAGGUGCGAAAGCGUGGGGAGCAAACAGG
rnacentral:rRNA from 1 species